GACGAACGCUGGCGGCGUGCCUAAUACAUGCAAGUCGAACGCAGUGGGGACGGGUGAGUAACACGUGGCUAACCUCCCAUCAGAGGGGAUAACACUUGGCAACAGGUGCUAAACCGAUAUUGGCGGAUGUACCCGCGGUGCAUUAGCUAGUUGGUGAGGUAACGGCUCACCAAGGCCACGAUGAAUAGCCGGGCUGAGAGGGUGAGCAGCCACACUGGGACUGAGACACGGCCCAGACUCCUACGGGAGGCAGCAGUGGGGAAUCUUCGGCAAUGGACGAAAGUCUGACCGAGCAACGCCGCGGGAGUGAAGAAGGUUUUCGGGUCGUAAAGCUCUGUUGUUAGGGACGCGGUAUCUAACCAGAAAGCCACGGCUAACUACGUGCCAGCAGCCGCGGUAAUAC
rnacentral:rRNA from 1 species